AUCGCUUCUCGGCCUUUUGGCUAAGAUCAAGUGUAGUAUGAAAUACUAUGUGAGAAGGUGAUUAAACAUACAAAUCUAUAAAAGGGGUGUGUGUGUGUGUGUGUGGUUGUUAUUAUUGUUUUUGCAGGUCCAUAGACUGUGAUGAAACAAAACUUGU
rnacentral:snRNA from 1 species